CACCAUCGAGGUACCUCCAUGUGUUCAGCAAUCUGGAAGCUCUUUGGACCCAGUCCUUUUGGGGUUUUAUGAAGUCUUCAUCAUGGACCAUCUCCACAAGACCAGAUGAUUCCUCAGAAUCUUCCAGCUCGGAUACUCUUAGACUCCUCUGGUUGGUGUGCAGGGACCACUGGUGUCCCAGAAACAUGCAGAGUCCUGGGCAGCGGGUCAAUGAUGGAGAAAAAGCUGAAACCAAACUGGAGACAAUGCCCAAGCUGUGUCCUGGCACCUGAGGACAGAACUAGCAUCCAACUUCCCUGCCUUCAGAGGGGCACAAAAUCCCAGGUGGCUGUGGCAGGCCUUCCCAUCUGAGGAGCUCCAGUCUGCCCUGAUGGAGAGAAUCCAGACAGUAGGUGAUGCUCCAGAUGAACAAACAGUUCUUGACUUUGGAAGGCCAUUUCUUCAGGCUCAUCUAGCUGGAAUAUCCCCGAGAACCUACAACUGCCUUUGCUGUGAUGUCUGCAAUCUUUGGAUCUCAGAUAUGGCUGCCAGAAUGGGAGAUAGCCUCUGUGUCUGCUGUGGUCCUCUGACAGCAACAUCUGUCGCCACGGUAGCAUCACAUCGGUUUUCCAGAAGUCUGGUUACGUGGCCAGUCUCCUGGAAUCUGCUCACCUGUAGGCAAACUGAUAAAACCAAAUUUUUGAAUUUUCCACACCAAGGACCAAGUCUUGGUGUCUCCACCAAGCACCUAAGGCCGUUAGCUAAUGUGUUUUGAAUGUGCAUUAUGUGCCUGGCCCUUUUCUCAGCAACUCAGAUAUAUUAACUCAUUCAGUGAGGACUCUAACGUGAGUGGGAGGUAACAGUGUUAGCCUCAUUUUACAGAUGGUGAAACAGAUGCCCAGAGAGGCUAACUUGCCUACAGUGUCAUAGCUGGUAACUGGUGAAUGAGGAUUCAAAUCCAUGCGUGCUGGCUCCAGAGGCUCCAGAAGUCUGGUGAGGGACUGCCUGAAGCAGAAGUGCCCCUGGAGUUGAGGACAGCUGGAUUUGGGUUCCUGGAGCCUGCACUGCCAAUUAGCUGUGUGGCUCAAAACACAUCACUUACUCUCUGAAUCUCCAUUUUCUCCCAUGUUGAAUGAAAGGGAUGAACUGGAUGAUCCCUAGCUCAGUUGCAGCUCUGACAUUUCAAGAGUUUUCAUCAGGCUAAAAUAAGCAGCAAGAGCCACACUGUGGUUGGGAAAGGGCAGCCUGGGACGUGCGUGCAUGGAAGUCGGGAGGCUCUCUAUGGUGAGGGGGUGUGGACAGCUAAUUGCGAGUGCAUGAGCUCAGCAGGGGGCCACUUUCUCCUUUCAGUGCCCACAGCUGGCUGUGAGUCACUGACGGUCACCAGCCACAGUGGGGCUGCUGGAAGCAGGGCAGGAGCUGAGGAUGAUCAGAAGACAAGCCAUCCCCCCUACCCCAAUGCCAGCCAUAGGGGCCUCAAGGGGCCUGCAUGCUCUUCCCUGUCCCUGUGUAUGUGCUAUUGCACCUCACUAGGAAGGCACUCAUCUCCAUCUCGCUGAGCAGAACACCCUUUUCUAUGGGAGCUCUGCCAGCCCCGGCACCCUGUGCUGCUUGCCUCAUACUCACUGAGCACCUACACUGUGCCAGCGGUGGGAGAUCAGGGCAGGUAAGACGUGCUCCCUGCUCUCAGGACAUUCACAGGCAGGGAGUCCGGGCCUGCUGGGC